CUGCUUGUGCCUGCCGUCAGGAGACUUGUCGUACUGCACAGCUCAAUAUAAAACCUGCCAACAGAAGAGCAGAAGCAAAUCCCAAAGACCCCACCCAGCAUUCUCUACAGUCACACCUCUUAGGGAGGGGGGAAAUGAAAAGAAAAAAAAUAUUAUGGAGAAAUAAAGAAAAAAAUUCUAUUCACACAAAAGUCAUUACAAAAAUUAGAAGUGCCAGUGUCUACAGAUGCGAAGGAAUCAGCAGAAGAAUUCUGGCACCAUGAAAAAAAAACAAUGCUGUGACACCACCAAAGGAUCACACCAGCUCUCCAGCAAUGGUCCCAACCAAAAUGGAAACUUAGAAAUGAUCAAUGAAAAUGUGAAGCAUGGCUUGCAAGGAAGCUCGACAAGAUCCGAGACAAGACUGAAAAUCAACACGAAGAAACUUUGAAAGCAAUCCAGGAAAUGAAGAAAGAGAUAAACAUCUUUAAAAAAUCAAUCAUAGCUUCUGUAAUUGAAAACCUCACUUAAGGAAUUUCAAAGUACAAUUAAAUCAUUAUCAUUAAACUAGACCAAGCAGCAAAAAGAAUUUCAGAGCUUGGAGACUAGUCUUUUGAAUUAAAAUCGUCUGACAAAAAUAAAAGGAAAAUAAUUUUUAAAAAUCAACAAAAUCUUCAAGAAAUACAGGAUUAUGUAAAGCAAGCGAACUUAUGAAUUACCGGCAUUCUUGAGAGAGAAGAAGAAAAGGCAAAUAACCUGGAAACAUAUUUAAGGGAAUAAUCUAAAAAAAUUUUUUUUAUCUUGCUAGAGAGGUAGACAUCCAAAUACAAGAAAUCCAGAAAACACCUGUGAGAUACUAUUUAAAACAUGCAUCACCAAGGUAUUUAGUCACCAGAAUGUCCAAGGUCGAUGAGAAAGAAAAAGGCUUAAAUGCAGCUAGAGAAAUUGGUCAGAUAAUAUACAAAGGGAGCCUCUUCAGGCUAACAGUGGACUUCCCAGCAAAAGUCUUAUAAGCCAGGGACCAUUCUGAAAGAAAAGAAAUUCCAACUAAGAAUUUCAUAUCCUACCGAACUGAGCUUCAUAAAGGAAGGAGACAUAAAAUCUUUUCCACACAAGCAAUCAUUAAGGGAAGUGUUACCACUAAACCAACCUUACAAGACAUCCCUAACAGAGUUCUAAGCAAGGAUAUAACAGGACGAUACCAGCUACCACAAAACACACCUAACCCACUAGCACAUGGUCCACAGGCCCUAUAAAGCAACUAUGCAGUAGAAACUACAAAGCAAUCAACUAAUAACAUAAUAAUAGGAUUAAAACAUCACAUAUCAAUAUUAUCCUUGAGUAUCUUAAAAGACACAGAAUGGCAAGUUAGAUUAAAAAAAAAAAUAAAAGACCCAUCUCUCUGCUGUGUUGAAGGGACACAUCUCACACAUAAUGACGGCCAUAAGCUCAAAGUAAAGGAUUGGAGAAAAUUCUCUUAUGCAAAUGGAAAGCCAAAAAAGAGCAGAGGUUGUCGUUUUUAUAUCAGAUUAAACAGAUUUUAAACCCACAACAGUAAAAGGAAAAAAUUGAAGGGCAUUGCAUAAUGAUAAAGAGUUCAAUUAAACAAGAAGACACAUUAUAACUAUUAUAAAUAUGCGUCCAACAUUGGAGCACCAGAUUCGUAAAAAUAAACACUUCUAGACCUGCAAAAAGAUCUAAAUAGCCACACAGUAGUUGUGGGGGAGGGGCUUUAACACCCCACUGACAGUGUCAGACAGAUCAUUGAGACAGAAAACUAACAAAUAAAUUCUGGACAUAAUUUUGACACCUGACCAAUUGAACCGAAUAGAAUUCUACAGAGUACUCUACUCAUCAAC
rnacentral:lncRNA from 1 species